AUGGCCUCAAGCUCGCCAGGCCGCUGCUCCCUCAUCCGCCACCGGCCAGGAAGGAGGACGUCGCCCCGCUGCCUUCUCUUGUCGCGACCAGGAUCCACCCUCCUCGCGCCUCUGGUCACCUCACCACCCCAUCACCCAUCAUGUGCCCGCAUCCGCGCAACACCAUCUCUGCCGCCUCCACGCACCUCCGGUGACCUCCCGAGGCAGGGCCUUGGCAAGUCCCUCGAUGCCCUUUCAGAUUCAUCAAGACCGGCAAGUUCGACUUCGACGCCAAGUUCGUCUUCAAAUCUACACGACUACAUCCGAUGUAGAUUUUGGCAAGUACCUGGAGGCCACAAUUACGCCAAGUUCCACGACGAACUAAGUACCGCAAGCACGUUUGUACCUCUACCGUCGCCGUGGAUCCGACAAGUACCCCUACAACAAGUAUACCUCUAUCGUGUCUUUGGAAUCGCAAAGAACGUCAAGCACCCCUUCGAGAUGACGAGACCGACAAGUUCAAAUGACCCCAAGUACCUCUCCAAAAAUGAGACGUAUACCACUACCGUCGCAAGAAUAGAGACCGACAAGUCCGAAGAAGCAAGUACCACUCUGAACCAUGUACGACGACCGUCGCCGAGACCCGCGUAA
rnacentral:rRNA from 1 species